rnacentral:rRNA from 2 species
ACUUUUAGCAACGGAUCUCUUGGCUCUCGCAUCGAUGAAGAACGCAGCGAAAUGCGAUAAGUAAUGUGAAUUGCAGAAUUCAGUGAAUCAUCGAAUCUUUGAACGCACCUUGCGCCCCUUGGUAUUCCGAGGGGCAUGCC